rnacentral:rRNA from 1 species
UACGAAGGGGGCUAGCGUUGUUCGGAAUUACUGGGCGUAAAGCGCGCGCAGGCGGUUUCUCAAGUCAGUGGUGAAAGCCCGGAGCUCAACUCCGGAACUGCCAUUGAAACUGUGAAACUUGAGGACGAGAGAGGUGAGUGGAAUUCCCAGUGUAGAGGUGAAAUUCGUAGAUAUCAAGCAGAACACCAGUGGCGGCGAAGGCGGCCUCUGGCCGGAACUGACGUGACGUGAGGUGACGAACGAAGCGUGGGGGAGCAAACAGG